GCUUUAGGGCUAGCCCCGUAUUAGUUUAGCGGAGGUAGAGCACUGAAUUCCUAAGGGGGCGUCAAAGCUUACCAAGGGAUAUCAAACUCCGAAUGCCGCAUAAAUGAUGUACGGGAGUCAGACUGCACGAGAUAAGUUGGGUAGUCAAAAGGGAAAGAGCCCAGCCCUCCAGCUAAGGUCCCAAAGUGCGUGUUAAGUGGAAAAGGAUGUGGGAUUUCAAAGACAACCAGGAUGUUGGCUCAGAAGCAGCCACACAUUCAAAGAGUGCGUAAUAGCUCACUGGUCGAGAGGUCCUGCGCCGAAAAUGUCCGGGGCUGAAACACACCACCGAAGCCGAGGAAUCACGCAAGUGAUUGGUAGAGGAGCAUUGCAUAUACGACGAAGCAGCAUCGGAAGGAGCUGUGGAGCAUAUGGAAGAGAGAAUGCCGGAAUGAGUAGCGAGAUGGAGGUGGGAAUCCUCCAGGCCGAAUAUCCAAGGUUUCCAGAGUAAAGCUGAUCUGCUCUGGGUAAGUCGGGACCUAAGGCGAGGCCGAGAGGCGUAGCCGAUGGACAACAGGUUGAGAUUCCUGUACUGCUGUAUAUCAGAACUGUGGGGACACAGAGGGAAAGCACAGGCGCGGAAUGGAAAGCCGCGUGCAAGCGAGGUACCGGACUGGUAGGAAAAACCGCCAGCCAACGGGAAGACGUGAUGCGGACCGAAAUUUAGUAGGGAAGUGUGUGAGCCAGCUGUCAAGAAAAGCCGCUAUUGUGUAUACAGUACCCGUACCGUAAACCGACACAGGUGGAUGAGGAGAGAAUCCUAAGGCCGGCGGAAGAAGUAUUGUCAAGGAACUCGGCAAAAUGACCCUGUAACUUCGGGAGAAAGGGUGCCUCGAAAGAGGCCGCAGAGAAUUGGCCCAAGCAACUGUUUAGCAAAAACACAGGUCUAUGCGAAACCGAAAGGUGAGGUAUAUGGGCUGACGCCUGCCCGGUGCUGGAAGGUUAAGGGGAGAUGUUAGAGCAAUCGAAGCAUUGAACUUAAGCCCCAGUAAACGGCGGCCGUAACUAUAACGGUCCUAAGGUAGCGAAAUUCCUUGUCGGGUAAGUUCCGACCCGCACGAAAGGCGUAAUGAUUUGGGCGCUGUCUCGACAAUACAUCCGGUGAAAUUGAAGUACCAGUGAAGAUGCUGGUUACCCGCGCCAGGACGGAAAGACCCCAUGGAGCUUUACUCCAGCUUGAUACUGGGAUUCGGUAUUGCAUGUACAGGAUAGGUGGGAGGCUAUGAAGGAAGGACGCCAGUCUUUCUGGAGCCGCUGUUGGGAUACCACCCUUGUGGUACUGGGUUUCUAACCUGCCGCCAUGAACUGGCGGAGGGACAAUGUCAGGUGGGGAGUUUGACUGGGGCGGUCGCCUCCGAAAGGGUAUCGGAGGCGCUCAAAGGUUCCCUCAGAAUGGUUGGAAACCAUUCGUAGAGUGCAAAGGCAGAAGGGAGCUUGACUGUGACACCGACGGGUGGAGCAGGUACGAAAGUAGGACUUAGUGAUCCGGUGGUAUAAAGUGGGAUUGCCAUCGCUCAACGGAUAAAAGCUACCCUGGGGAUAACAGGCUUAUCACUCCCAAGAGUUCACAUCGACGGAGUGGUUUGGCACCUCGAUGUCGGCUCAUCGCAUCCUGGGGCUGUAGUAGGUCCCAAGGGUUGGGCUGUUCGCCCAUUAAAGCGGUACGCGAGCUGGGUUCAGAACGUCGUGAGACAGUUCGGUCCCUAUCCGGCGUGGGCGUAGGAUAUUUGAGAGGAGCUGUCCUUAGUAC
rnacentral:rRNA from 1 species